rnacentral:rRNA from 1 species
CCUACGGGCGGCAGCAGUGGGGAAUAUUGCACAAUGGGCGCAAGCCUGAUGCAGCCAUGCCGCGUGUGUGAAGAGGGCCUUCGGGUUGUAAAGCACUUUCAGCGGGGAGGAAGGCGGUGAGGUUAAUAACCUCAUCGAUUGACGUUACCCGCAGAAGAAGCACCGGCUAACUCCGUGCCAGCAGCCGCGGUAAUACGGAGGGUGCAAGCGUUAAUCGGAAUUACUGGGCGUAAAGCGCACGCAGGCGGUCUGUCAAGUCGGAUGUGAAAUCCCCGGGCUCAACCUGGGAACUGCAUUCGAAACUGGCAGGCUAGAGUCUUGUAGAGGGGGGUAGAAUUCCAGGUGUAGCGGUGAAAUGCGUAGAGAUCUGGAGGAAUACCGGUGGCGAAGGCGGCCCCCUGGACAAAGACUGACGCUCAGGUGCGAAAGCGUGGGGAGCAAACAGGAUUAGAUACCCUUGUAGUC